GACGAACGCUGGCGGCGUGCCUAAUACAUGCAAGUAGAACGCUGAAGGAGGAGCUUGCUUCUCUGGAUGAGUUGCGAACGGGUGAGUAACGCGUAGGUAACCUGCCUGGUAGCGGGGGAUAACUAUUGGAAACGAUAGCUAAUACCGCAUAAGAGUAGAUGUUGCAUGACAUUUGCUUAAAAGGUGCAAUUGCAUCACUACCAGAUGGACCUGCGUUGUAUUAGCUAGUUGGUGGGGUAACGGCUCACCAAGGCGACGAUACAUAGCCGACCUGAGAGGGUGAUCGGCCACACUGGGACUGAGACACGGCCCAGACUCCUACGGGAGGCAGCAGUAGGGAAUCUUCGGCAAUGGACGGAAGGCUGACCGAGCAACGCCGCGUGAGGGAAGAAGGGUGUCGGAUCGUAAAGCUCUGUUGUAAGAGAAGAACGAGUGUGAGAGUGGAAAGUUCACACUGUGACGGUAUCUUACCAGAAAGGGACGGCUAACUACGUG
rnacentral:rRNA from 1 species